rnacentral:lncRNA from 1 species
GAGAGUUCGUGAAGCCUUUUACGUAUGAUCGUAUGACCCCCGAAGAGAGAAGGCAGAGACAAGACCAGGACGGCCAUCGUGUUUAAGACGAGGCUAACGAAAUCAUGGGCGCCAUGAGCCAGGGUCACAGGUCCAGGACAGAUUCAAAUGUCAAAUUGGCAACAGGCAAAGAAAUGGAUGAGCUCGACGUUUACCUCUCUCAGCUUCGUGACGGACCCCCUGGGGCUCUUUUACAAACGAUUCGUCAUGGUGUUGGGUGCCAUUCAGAACCACUCAGAACUGCCCUAAAACAUCCUUUGUGUGCUUUGCUUCCUUCUCCCUUUCCUAAUAACAAAUGGAGAGGUGAAGGGGAGGUGCUGCUCCGGCCUCUGGAAAGGGAUCUUGGAGAAAGCCCCUGGGCCCCAGGCCGGUGUGGCAUCGCCCCGCAGCUUGAUGGGCUCCCCCACCCAGCCUGAGCCUGCUCUGACGGCCAUGGGCAGUUCCAGGGCUCUGCUGCCCCCUCUAGCAAACUGUGGGUCACACCUGGCUGAUUGAGACAGUGGCCCCAUCUGCCCUCUGGGGUGCGCCUUCUAGCCCAGCUGCAAAGCCCUAAAUGUGCUCGCAGUGGCUCUGCCGAGCUCUGCCCCACUCCCUGCUGGCCGUGCCAGGGUGGGCAGCCGAAGCCAGGUCUGGGAGCCGGUGCCCAUCGCUGAGACCCGGAUUCUGCUGGACAGGGAUAGAGCCCAGGCUCCGGCCACACCUUGUCACCAGGGAGGGCGGAAGGGGAUCCUAGUGGUGCGCCCCUGGAGAGAAUCAAACCCAGCGGCUUCUGCCGCCGGAACCCCUCUCCCUCCUGGGAAAGGCUCCGCACAGCCUGGGCCUCCGGGCUGCAUGGGGUCUGUCCCACCUUCUCCAGAGAUGCUGUGUGCCACUGUGCCCCACCACCACCACUGAGGGCACAUGGCGGAGGGUUCCCCCAGCUGACUCGGAUGGAGCCACGCCACUUGCGGGAACCAAGGAUCCCUUCUCUUUACUGUCCCAGCCUUCCCGACCUGCACAAGUGAACACAAAUCUCUUCUCCCAAGGAUAAAAUGCGGCCAUUCUGUGAGCGCAGAAGGUGCUCUUACAGCCUGUAAUUCCACAUUCAGUGGGGAGAGGUAAUAAGACUCAUGCUCCUCUCCAUGGGUUUCAAUGUGGCUUUUCUGUAGCCCUUAUGUAACCACUGGUAUUUCUGGUGAUGUUAUUAAGAGUGAACAGCCGCGGCUUCUCACGGUGACACGAACUCCAAGGUGGAAAGGGCCUCGGCAGACAGGGC